CAAUGCCAUCUAUUUGUCAGGCUUGGGAACCACGGGACUGGAAAUCUAUGAGCAAGUGCCAAAACUGGAUGCAGUGAUACUCCCAGCAGGGGCUCAGUGUGGAUUGUUAGCAGGCUCCGCUGCUGCACUGAAACAUUUGAAUCCACGCAUUGCUGUGAUUGGUGUGGAAUCAGAGGGUUUCCCUGUAUUGCAGCAGUCCUUAAAGACUGGGCGCUCUGUUGAAGACCAGAGCCACAGUAACUGUCAGUUCUACAAAGAUGUGAGUGGACCUUGUUUUGGCACCAACUCCUUGCAGUUGACUGGAAAAUUUGUUGAUAAAGUUGUCACAGUACGGUAGGUACAGUAAAUACGUAAUUU